rnacentral:rRNA from 1 species
UAGAUCUUGCUCCAAAGAGAUAAAUAAUUCAACAUCGAGGUCAUAAUCUUUUUCUUUUAUAAGAACUUUAAGAAAAAAUUGUGCUGUUAUCCCUACGGUAACUUGAUUAAAUCUCAGAUUGAGGCUAGAGAGAGAAUGAGAAAAAAGAUUUAGUUUUUUACCGCCCCAGUUCAACAAAAGUAAAGCUCGAUAGGGUCUUGUCGUCCUUCUUUAUUAUUCAAGUCUUUUUACUUGAAGGAAAAGUUAAAAUAGUUUGGUUAAUAAAGAAAUUUAUAUGUCAAACCUUUCAUUCUAGCCUUCAAUUAAAAGGCAAAUGAUUAUGCUACCUUAGCACAAGAAAAUUGCGGCUAUUUAAUAGAUCAUUGAGCAGGCCCUACUGAAUAUUAGAUCAUUCAGAAAUGUUUUUGAUAAACAGACAAUAAAUAUAUAAGCCGAGUUCAUGAACCUGAAUAUAGAAAUAAUAAACGGGGUGAGUUGAUAAAAAUGGGUCACAAUAAGUUUUACUAAUAAAAUCAUUGUAAGGGUUUUUAGGAAAGUCUCUUUUAAUAAAAUUCUUGAAAAUAAGCAACGGGAAAGUUUAAAAACUAGGGGGACACUAUUAAUCCUGAGAUUUUAAAUAUAAGAGAUGAUCAAUUCAUAAAAAAGAUUAUCCCUUUUUAAAUUUUGGUACUAUAACCUUCAAAGAGAACCAGAUAUAAUAGAAUGCGAAUGGAAUUUCAUCUCUAUAUUUACUUUAGAAAACUUUAUGAAACAAGCUUGAUAAGCAAAAAUAGAUCACUUCAAUUUCGGGAGCAUUUGUUAUAAAGGGGGAAUUGAUUCUCCCUGAUACUAAAGGUACAUUGCUUUUCUGUCUAACAAUUGAAAAUUUUCCCUCACGGUUAAAUUAUUACAAGAAAGUAACAGAAAGGAGAAAAUAUUAAUUUAAAUAAAUGUUUUUAGUAAGAAGU